rnacentral:rRNA from 1 species
GAUGAACGCUGGCGGCGUGCCUAACACAUGCAAGUCGAGCGAACGGACGAGAAGCUUGUUUUUUUGAUGUUAGCGGCGGACGGGUGAGUAACACGUGGAUAACCCACCUAUAUGACUGGGAUAACUUCGGGAAACCGGAGCUAAUACCGGAUAAUAUUUUGAACGGAAUGGUUCAAAAGUGAAAGACGGUCUUGCUGUCACUUAUAGACGGAUCCGCGCUGCAUUAGCUAGUUGGUAAGGUAACGGCUUACCAAGGCAACGAUGCAUAGCCGAGCUGAGAGGGUGAGCGGCCACACUGGAACUGAGACACGGUCCAGACUCCUACGGGAGUCAGCAGUGGGGAAUCUUCCACAAUUGGCGAAAGCCUGACAGAGCAACGCCGCGUGGGUGAUGAAGGGCUUCGGGUCGUAAAGCUCUGUUAUUAGGGAAGAAAAUAUGUAGAAGUAACUGUGCACGUCUUGACGGUACCUAAUCAAGAAGCCACGGCUAACUACGUG